AGCGAACGCUGGCGGCAGGCCUAACACAUGCAAGUCGAACGAACUCUUCGGAGUUAGUGGCGGACUGGUGAGUAACACGUGGGAACGUGCCUUUUGGUUCGGAAUAACUCAGGGAAACUUGUGCUAAUACCGAAUGUGCCCUUCGGGGGAAAGAUUUAUCGCCAUUAGAGCGGCCCGCGUCUGAUUAGCUAGUUGGUGAGGUAACGGCUCACCAAGGCGACGAUCAGUAGCUGGUCUGGGAGGAUGACCAGCCACACUGGGACUGAGACACGGCCCAGACUACUACGGGAGGCAGCAGUGGGGAAUCUUGCGCAAUGGGCGAAAGCCUGACGCAGCCAUGACGCGUGAAUGAUGAAGGUCUUAGGAUUGUAAAAUUAUUUCACCGGGGACGAUAAUGACGGUACCCGGAGAAGAAGCCCCGGCUAACUUCGUG
rnacentral:rRNA from 1 species